rnacentral:rRNA from 1 species
GAACGCGAAGAACCUUACCAGGCCUUGACAUCCUAGGAACCCUGAAUGAAAGUCGGGGGUGCCCGCAAGGGAACCUAGAGACAGGUGCUGCAUGGCUGUCGUCAGCUCGUGUCGUGAGAUGUUGGGUUAAGUCCCGCAACGAGCGCAACCCUUGUCCUUAGUUGCUAACGGGUAAGCCGAGCUCUCUAGGGAGACUGCCCGCGAAAGCGGGAGGAAGGCGGGGAUGACGUCUAGUCCGCAUGGCCCUUACGGCCUGGGCGACACACGUGCUACAAUGCCCGGCACAGAGCGCUGCCACAUCGCAAGAUGGAGCGAAUCGCCUAAAUCCGGGCUCAGUUCGGAUUGGGGUCUGCAACCCGACCCCAUGAAGCUGGAAUCGCUAGUAAUCGCGGAUCAGCCAUGCCGCGGUGAAUACGUUCCCGGGUCUUGUACACACC